GUUCCUUCGGGAGCGAGUAGAGCGGCGGACGGGUGAGUAACGCGUAGGAAUCUACCCAGUAGUGGGGGACAACCUGGGGAAACCCAGGCUAAUACCGCAUACGCCCUGAGGGGGAAAGCGGGGGCUCUCUUCGGAGACCUCGCGCUAUUGGAUGAGCCUGCGUCGGAUUAGCUAGUUGGUGGGGUAAAGGCCUACCAAGGCGACGAUCCGUAGCUGGUCUGAGAGGACGAUCAGCCACACUGGGACUGAGACACGGCCCAGACUCCUACGGGAGGCAGCAGUGGGGAAUAUUGCGCAAUGGGCGAAAGCCUGACGCAGCCAUGCCGCGUGUGUGAAGAAGGCUCUAGGGUUGUAAAGCACUUUCAAUGGGGAGAAAAACCCCGUCGUUAAUAGCGGCGGGUCUUGAUGUUACCUAUAGAAGAAGCACCGGCUAACUCCGUGCCAGCAGCCGCGGUAAUACGGAGGGUGCGAGCGUUAAUCGGAAUUACUGGGCGUAAAGCGCGCGUAGGCGGUGGGUUAAGUCAGCUGUGAAAGCCCCGGGCUCAACCUGGGAAUGGCAGUUGAUACUGGCCGACUAGAGUACGAGAGAGGGAGGUAGAAUUCCACGUGUAGCGGUG
rnacentral:rRNA from 1 species